CCUACGGGUGGCAGCAGUGGGGAAUAUUGCACAAUGGGGGGAACCCUGAUGCAGCGACGCCGCGUGGGUGAAGGAGUAUUUCGGUAUGUAAAGCCCUAUCAGCAGGGAAGAACAAUGACGGUACCUGACUAAGAAGCACCGACUAAAUACGUGCCAGCAGCCGCGGUAAUACGUAUGGUGCAAGCGUUGACCGGAUGUACUGGGUGUAAAGGGAGCGCAGGCGGCGUGUGAAGCCUGGUGUGAAAGCCCGCGGCCCAACCGCGGGACUGCAUUGGGAACUGGCGCGCUGGAGUGCCUGAGGGGUAGGUGGAAUUCCUAGUGUAGCGGUGAAAUGCGUAGAUAUUAGGAGGAACAUCAGUGGCGAAGGCGACCAACUGACCGGUGACUGACGCUGAGGCUCGAAAGCGUGGGGAGCAAACAGGAUUAGAUACCCUUGUAGUC
rnacentral:rRNA from 1 species